UACUUUGAUGAAGACUUUCUAGUAAUCCCUUUAAAUCAUUUUGUUCUUGAAAAUGUGGUAGACAAUCAGGAGGCAUUUUUUCCGUAAACAGGUUGUAAUAUUCCUUUAGAAGUUGUAAGUUUUCUUGGUUAAUGUUUUCUUGCAAAGUGGUAUCUCCAAACCUGUCUGCAAGUGUUUGCUGUUCAUUGAUUCCAACAUUAAAGAGUACUGGAUACAUGCGAAGUAGCUUUCCUUCUUUAAUCUCUUGUGGUAGCAACUCGAACAUCUUUGCCGGAAGCUGGACCUCUAUGACAUAAUGUUCACGCCUUCCAGUUAUAAUAGGCAAAAAGUCUUCUGAUUUGGCUUCAAUGACUUUAAACAUUACUUUCUGCAAAUCUGAA
rnacentral:lncRNA from 1 species